AGUGUCUUUUUUAGCUCACCUGGCCCGAAGGGCCAAGUGAGCUUUUCUCAUCACUUGGCGUCCGGCGUCCGUCGUCGUCUGUCGUCGUCCGUCGUCGUCCGUCGUCCUGCGUCCGUCGUCGUUAACUUUUACAAAAAUCUUCUCCUCUGAAACUGCUGGGCCAAAUUUAACCAAACAUGGCCAAAAUCAUUAUUAGGGUAUCUAGUUUAAAAAUUGUGUCCGGUGACCCGCCCAACCAACCAAGAUGGCCGCCAUGGCUAAAAAUAGAACAUAGGGUUAAAAUGCAGUUUUUGGCUUAUAACUCAAAAAUCAAAGCAUUUAGAGCAAAUCUGACAUGGGGUAAAAUUGUUUAUCAGGUCAAGAUCUAUCUGCCCUGAAAUUGUCAGAUGAAUCGGACAACCCGUUGUUGGGUUGCUGCCCCUGAAUUGGUAAUUUUGAGAAAAUUUUGAUGUUUUUGGUUAUUAUCUUGAAUAUUAUUAUAGAUAGAGAUAAACUGUAAACAACAAAAAUGUUCAGCUAAGUAAGAUCUACAAAUAAGUCAACAUGACCAAAAUGGUCUGUUGACCCCUUUAGAAGUUAUUGCCCUUUAUAGUCAAUUUUUAACCAUUUUUCGUAAAUCUUAAUUAUCUUUUACAAAAAUCUUCUCCUCUGAAACUACUGGACCAAAUUAAACCAAACUUGGCCACAAUAAUCAUUCGGGUACACAGUUUACAAAUUGUGUCCGGUGAUCCGGCCAACCAACCAAGAUGGCCGCCAUGGCUAAAAAUAGAACAUAGGGGUAAAAUGCAGUUUUUGGCUUAUCACUCAAAAACCGAAGCAUUUAGAGCAAAUCUGACUGUAGUAAAAUUGUUUAUCAGGUCAAGAUCUAUCUGCCCUGAAAUUGUCAGAUGAAUCGGACAACUCUUUGAUAGGUUGCUGCCCCUGAAUUGGUAAUUUUAAGGAAAUUUUGCUGUUUUUGGUUAUUAUCUUGAAUAUUAUUAUAGAUAGAGAUAAACUGUAAACAGCAAAAAUGUUCAGCUAAGUAAGAUCUACAAAUAAGUCAACAUGACCAAAAUGGUCUGUUGACCCCUUUAGGAGUUAUUGCCCUUUAAAGUCAAUUUUUAACCAUUUUUCGUAAAUCUUAGUUAUCUUUUACAAAAAUCUUCUCCUCUGAAACUACUGGAUUAAAUUAAACCAAACUUGGCCACAAUCAUCAUUGGGGUAUCUAGUUUAAAAAUUGUGUCCGGUGAUCCAGCCAACCAACCAAGAUGCCGCCAUGGCUAAAAAUAGAAGAUAGGGGUAAAAAUGCAGUUUUUGGCUUAUCACUCAAAAACCAAAGCAUUUAGAGCAAAUCUGACAUGUGGUAAAAUUGUUUAUCAGGUCAAGAUCUAUCUGCAACAACAAAAGAAAGAGAGUUUUUCACGACCUCAGCUGGCUAUACAACCCUUGCACAAUCAACUGAAUUUUGCAGAAAUCAUUAAUAGGAUAGAUUGCCCUUAUAUGAUAAUUUUUUAUUACCUUUUUGGGUUUUUUGGGGGGGGGGGUUACGCAGCAACAAAACUACUUCACAACUUUCUCAUUACUUUGCAUUUCUUGUUAGAUAAAUUUUACAAAAAUUCUCCCCUGAAACAACUGUCGAAUUUAAACAAACUUGGUUUAAAUCACCACUAGGAUAUCCAGGGACCACUGUGUAUGAUGACCUUGCCUGCCCACAUGGCUGAAAUAAAACAUAGGUUUCAAAUGCACUUUUUAGUAUUAUAUCUCUGAAACUAAACGACAGUACAACAGUUGCAUUUAUCAUGCAACAAUUGUAAAUAAAAAUAUCAGGUGAGCGACACAGGGUCCUUGGACCCUCUAGUUUUUAUUAUUAAAGUAUGAA
rnacentral:lncRNA from 1 species